GCCUACUCUUUAAAUUUCAAAACAGUGAAUAGAUACAGCAUGUUGGUUAUCACACUUGGAAAUCUAGUGUUUUGGACCUUGUACUGAAUGAUGAAGUCCUGAAAUCAUAGAUGCUACAAAUUUAUGCUUCCUGUCAGAAGCAGACUGAGCGAGUCUUUCAACCAAAGAAGUGGGAGAAGGUCGGAUUCACCUUUCCGAGCUGACCUCCAUUACAGGUGGAGGGAGAGACCCUGCUUGCUCACCCUCUCUGCAGUGUGAUGACCCAGCAGAAGGAAGACCUCCACGAGCCAGGAGAAGGCCCUCAUUGGGGCCCCGAAUCUGCCAGCCCCUUGACCUUGGAAUUGCCAGCAGCAGAAGUGAGAAGAGGAACAAAAUGACAUUUUCAAGCUUAUUUGAAUGCAAAGCACUCGGGGAGAGGAAAUGUAGACUGCUGUACUCAUCCGCUUGUUCAGUAAGAAUGCAGAAUAACAUAUAGACAAAUCAGUAACUGGCUCACGGGAAGAGAUAGCCACCAGGGACAUGCAAAUCACAUCCAUGAGGCUGGCUGU